UUGAAUGUCUGGUUUUCUUUUGUUUUAAAAAAUUGGUAGUCGAGCCGACAGAAACUUGAUCUGUGACUCGUGUAACUUUACCCCGUUUAGGGUCACGAAUACUCUAGGGCGUGUCAAAUGGAUAAGGCUUUAUAUUUAAAACGGUUCUAUAUUGCAUCUACACGCAGAUAACUUGAAAAAGAUGUUGCAUUGACUGACACAUGGGAAUCAUCUUCUUCCUCAACAGAACUCACGCACACGUUGAGAUUCAGCGACAGUGUCAGAUGAAAACCUGGCGCAUAUUGGGAAACGUCGGGUGACACAUACUGAAGCGUUAUGACUGAAAAGUGACGGAUUUUGGCAAAAAUCUAAACGGUACUAGUUUCAACUGACGUAUAUAUUGGGAAAAGUUGUUACUAUCAAGUAACGUAUAUUGGCAAAUAUCAUCACGAUAAUCAGGUGAUGCCGACUGAGAAACAUGAACACCGCCGAGUGACGCCUAUCGAGAAGCGUCUUCACCACCGAGUGAUGCCUAUCGAGAAGCGUCUUCAUCGCCGAGUGACGUCUAUUGAGAAACGUUCUCACCGCCAAGAGACGUAUAUUGUGAAAAGUUAUCACCUCCGGGAAACGCAAAUUUGGAUAAGUUAUUACCGUCGAGGUACGCAUAUUGCGAAACGUUAUCACCGCCAAGAGACGCAUAUUUGGAAAAAUUAUUACCGCCGAGACACGCAUGUUUGGAAAAGCUAUCGCCGUCGAGAGAAGCAUAUUUGGAAAAGUUCUCACCACCUUAUGACACAUACAGGCAAACAUUAUCAUCGUCGAGUGUCGUAUAUUUGAAAACAUUAACACUGUCUAUUUACGAACAUUUUUUAAAAAUUAUCACCGUCGAAUGACGUAUUUUUCAGCAUAAUAUUAAAUUGGAUCCGGACCCCAGCACACUGAAAUCCCACCCACAGAUAUCCCUAUCUAUAGGUUUACUCGCUUACUCCCCUUGUUUUCUCUUUAGAAAACUUACGCCGAUAACCUUGAAUACUGUAUAUUAAAAUGCACGCAACUUGUACAUUUUUAGGAAACAAAUCAACGAGUCAGUGCAGUACUAACCGAUAUGUUUAUUCAAUUUUCACAAAAUUCGUAUAAAGUUUUGGAGGUCAACUCGCUCCUGUACUAUAUUGAAAUGCACGCAACUUGUACAUUUUUAGUAAACAAAUCAACGAGUCAGUGCAGUAUACUAACCGAUAUGUUUAUUCAGUUUUCACAAAAUUCGUAUAAAGUUUUUGAGGUCAACUCGCUCCUGUACUAUAUUGAAAUGCACGCAACUUGUACAUUUUUAGGAAACAAAUCAACGAAUGAGUGCAGUACUAACCGAUAUGUUUAUUCAAUUUUCAUAAAAUUCGUAUAAAGGAUUGGAGGUCAGCUCGCUCCUGUACUCGAAUCACCUCAGCAGUACAAAGAUUUAUUAUUUUCAAAAUUGUGCUCCUGUUUACCGGAUUAUCAAACGAUAUGCUUUAGAUCGGUAAUAACUGUUAAAUCGUUGAUUUGUCAACUCCUGUUAUGGAUGUUAAAAACUGUCGACAAUUACCAAGAACGGGAAUGAUAAAUGAAAAUUAUACUGGAUUCAUCGAGCCACCACCUAUGAAAACGAUACAUUUAGAUAUUGUAUGACGGUUUAAUAAAAAAGGCGACAUUACCUUUUUGUGUAUUAACAAUUUCGGAAGUCCUCGGGAUAUGUUGGCGACUUCCAUCUGUUGGGCUCGGUCACGCAACAAUCGCUGUUGUUUUAUGAAAUGCCACAUUUCCCUGCAUGACAACUUUUCCGCCUCAUCAGGUUUUUCAAAGCCUUGAUUAAACAGUUACUAAUAAUUCCAAAUGCCAUGCGAUUAUCAUGUAACAAUGAUAGCUGAGAAACUAAAACGGCUCACAGUCAGUCCGAUACUUAUUUCAGCAAAAUCGUUGAAAAUAAAUAUCCGGAUGGCCAAAAAGUAGCUUUUCAAUCUUUUGGCAUUUAAAAAGAAAUAUUUAUAAGAAAAUCAAGUGGCUGACCAAUUUGAGAGCUAUAAUACAAAGACGAAAUGAGUUACCGGUAGAUGAGACUCUAGCAAAGUUAGGAAACAUAAUGGGAAGCUAUAUGAAGUAUUGCAGAAUAUGAUUUGUCAACUUCUGUUAUGAAUGUUAAAAACUGUCGACAGUUACCAAGAAAAGGAAUGAUAAAUGAAAAAUAUACCGGAUUCAUAAAGUCACUAUCUAUGAAAACGAUACAUUUAGAGAUUGUAUGAUGAUUUAAUAAAAAGCAACAUUGUAUCUUUUUAUAGGUCAGUGACCACCAGUUAAAAAUAGGGAACUUACUGGGAAUAAAGUAAGCGUAUACCUGAGAAUGUGGUAAUGUUUGUCCGUUCUGAAAGGUCAGUCAUGUAAACAAACCCAAGAAGUGAUUUUUUUUUCAAAAUUUAUUUUUUUACUGCAUUUACAGUAUUGUAUUAUACAUUUGUACAAAAUUUGCUACAUUUUAUGUGUAUUAAGAAAAAGUUUUAUAAAAGGAAUUACCCACGCCAUGACAACGAUGUAAACAGAGGGUCAUCUCAUUCACAUGAAAAUUACUUAAAUAAAGUAUCACUAUUCAUCUAUUUUUCGUCAGGCUUGAGAUAGUUCUUGGGGAAAAAAUGUGAUUUGAUGUACAUGUAUAUGUUUCAAUUUAUGGACGGCCGUACACGUAUAAUAAUGAUAUAAUGGAAGUCUAUUGGAAAACAAUUGGUGUUCUUUAACCUAAAGACUCUUUGUAUAGUUCUCGGAUAUUGUAAUGUAACUAAUAUGAUUAUGUUUCUACAUUUCUAGAGAGAACCAAACAAAGCAAGUCAAGCCGUUUCGUAACUGACUGACAAAUAACUUUUAUACAAUUUUUUCUUGUUGCAAACUAGACUUAAUAUAAAAGUAAGAAAAAAACUUGUUGACUAACACUUUGAUUUUCUUUUUGCUGUUUUGUUUUUUAUUUGUUGAAGUUCUGAACUAUAUGUUUUACAUUCUCGCAUUCUCAAAGUGUACCAUGCUUCCGUCGGAACUCUGUCAAACAUCUGAUUUAUAAUGCUUUGAUUAUAUACUGACGGGGCUAUAUUGUAGAUUUUAUUCCUUUGUUGUUGUUUAUUCAAUAGUGAAUAAAAUGUUGAAAGGUUGGAAAGUG